UGAUGAUGAUGUGGGCAACUUUGCAACAGGGACUUAAACCUGUCCCAAGCUUGGUACAAGUUUUCCCCUCCUUUCUGUCGGAAGCUUAAUAUAUCGCUUCUCAGCUU
rfam:Solanum tuberosum cultivar DM 1-3 516 R44 scf00479_20, whole genome shotgun sequence.